rnacentral:lncRNA from 1 species
ACACACACACAUUGCAAGAAGUCAUGGCUGAAGAAAAAAUCAACACACUGCAACAUGCUUGAAGAUCUAGGUGCACAAAGGCAAAGCAGGAAAUUAAAUGAAUGGCCAAAUCAGUAUUAUAUUGCCUACAAUAAAAUUAAAAUAUACCUCUGACAAGUCCAGGCCACAGUGUUGGCAUUCUGUUAAUGUGCCAAUGUUAAGUGUCUCAAUGGAGUGGACAAGCAACUGGGAAUAAAUUAAAUCAGGAUUAUACACAUCUAUAAAAGGUAUAUAAAUCCCCUGCCAUCUCCCAGCUUUUAUAGCCAAAUACUCUUACAGUCCGCUGAGUCUACUUGCACACAGUUACCAGAGACUGUCUGAGAGACUACAGGAUGGCAAAGGUCAUUGCCAGCAUCACAGCUACCACUCCUUUGCUUUUGUGACAUCACCCAUCUCUUUCAUAGCAUCUCCAGUUUCCGUAAGGGUGAACAGUAGCAAUUAUUAUGAGUUCAUUCCUCAGUCAAGAAGAAAUCAGAACCCACUUCUGCCAGAACAUUAUUGGAGAAACAGUUGUCUAAUAAGACCUGAUUUUCCUCAAAAUUAUUAUUCUAGAGGACUUUGGAUUUCUUUGAUUACAUGAAAAAGUUCAAUCCAUGCAAUAAUAAAGGAAACAAGUCUGCUUCGAGACUGAAGAGGUGAAGGUGGUCAGACAAACACCUGAUAUCUAAAUUAAACUUAGCAGAUUUGAAAGUUUCUCAAGACCUGUAGAAGAAAGUCCUUCAUCUAUGAGACAUCGAGCACAUAAGAAGUACAGCUUGAGCUGUAUGAGUAACUGAAAGUGUGCAACUUAUUGACUUUCCCCACCUUCUACCUGAAUAGUUCAGGGACAUUUCAUGACUUUCAAGGAUAUGUUGCUCUCCAGAAGUUAUCUAGGGAAUCAUUUAUACAUUCUACCUGAAUAAACGGUUGCUCUCAUUCAGUGUUGGAAAUUCCAGCUGUACUGACUGGCAUCUAGCUCACAGCUCAUCUCUGCUCCUCCUCUGAGCUUAAGUAGCUCUUCAAAAUUUUGAUUGUGUGAAUUCCAAUUUCAACCCUGAUUCAGUAGCUUGUUUUCUGUGAAUGUGGUACUUGCAAGCAGUAAACAUUCAUACUGUCUGUGCAAGCUCUGCAAGCCGUAUUGAUACAGCUCCAGGAAGAGACACUGGCUUUUGGCCAAGAAAGGUGAUCACCUCAGCGCUCAAGUAGAACUUGCAUCAGAGAGAGUCAUAAUGAGCUUCCUCCUUUAAAAAGCUACUGACAACAAUUGACAAGCAGUGAUGUAAAGGAUCAAGGUAUUUAGGUUAUUAAACUCACAUAAAGGGAUAAUUACAAAACUGCAAAAAUUCAUUGAAGAUUUCAGUGUCAUAUUUACCCCAGAUCUUCAAUAGUUUUUCCUUCCAGCGAAUACGUUGUAUGAAACAGCAGAUAUAAAGCCCUUCUGCCCUUGUGUAAAUGAAGUGGACAUUGAUCAAAGCGUAGAUUAGCUGUGCAGAGGGUUGGACAGAACAAAGGAUGGUUACACUGCUGUUUCCAACAUAGCAGUACAACAGAUGUCAGUAAACAUCAAAAAAAGUGUCUCAUUUUUAUGCUUUGUUUUAUUUUGGUUUUGUGGAGUUGCUUUAUGUUUGGUUGGUUGCAUUGUUUUUUGUUGUUGUUGUUUUUACUUCUUUAUUGGUUUUAGUCAGAUACUUCACUCAUUUACACAAAAGCAUGCCUGUCAAGCAUAUGGACUGCACUUCUUAAAGCUUAAUCUCCAGAUGCGGUGCUUUGAAUCUGCUGUCAGUAAUCUCCAAAGGAAGACUUUGAAACUGAUUCUUAUUCAGGAUUCUAGUUCAGAAAAGCUCUUUAUUUUCUAUGCUAGGAAUUUUGGAGACGUGGGUUAUUGCCCCUUCUAGUUUAAGAAAAAAUUUCCACUUUACAGUAAACUCAGUUAGACUCUGUGGGGAAGCAAUGAGAACUUCUGAGUUGAAAUACAAUUCAGAAUAUUCUCUGUUCAAAUCAAUAGUCAUCAUCCUGAAGGAGGGAUGGGGCAAAGGAUGAUAAUUUGAUGUUUUGAAAUUCAGAUCCACAUUCCAACAAAAAUCAUGUGAAGUUAAAGCUUACUGAACAAACUCAGGUGCAAAAGCUAAUG